rnacentral:rRNA from 1 species
UGGGGGCAGUUCCCUGGAACGGGACGCCCGAGAAGGUGAGAGCCCUGUACCGCCUAGGGGUCCGCCGCCGGACGAAGCGCCUUCGACGAGUCGAGUUGUUUGGGAAUGCAGCUCUAAGUGGGAGGUAAAUUUCUUCUAAGGCUAAAUACCGGCCAGAGACCGAUAGCGCACAAGUAGAGUGAUCGAAAGAUGAAAAGCACUUUGGAAAGAGAGUUAAACAGCACGUGAAAUUGUUGAAAGGGAAGCUCUUGCUGCCAGACAUGCCGCGGUCGCUCAGCCGCCCCCCGGGGCGGUGUACUCGACCGCGGCGGGCCAGCGUCAGUUCGGGCGGUCGGAGAAAGGCUCGGGGAAAGUAGCUCCCUCUGGGGAGUGUUAUAGCCCCGGGCGUCAUGCGGCCAGCCCGGUCUGAGGCCCGCGUUCGCGAGGACGCUGGCGUAAUGGUCGCAAGCGACCCGUCUUGAAACACGGACCAAGGAGUCUAACAUCUGUGCGAGUGUUCGGGUGUCAAACCCGUGCGCGUAAUGAAAGUGAACGGAGGUGGGACCCCCUCACGGGGCGCACCAUCGACCGAUCCUGAUGUCCUCGGAUGGAUUUGAGUAAGAGCAUAGCUGUUGGGACCCGAAAGAUGGUGAACUAUGCGUGUUUAGGGUGAAGCCAGAGGAAACUCUGGUGGAGGCUCGCAGCGGUUCUGACGUGCAAAUCGAUCGUCAAAAAUGCGUAUAGGGGCGAAAGACCAAUCGAACCAUCUAGUAGCUGGUUCCCGCCGAAGUUUCCCUCAGGAUAGCAGUAACGUCCGCAGUUUUAUGAGGUAAAGCGAAUGAUUAGAGGCCUUGGGGCUGAAACAGCCUCAACCUAUUCUCAAACUUUGAAUAUGUAAGAAGCCCUUGUUGCUUAAUUGAACGUGGGCCGUCGAAUGCACCGUUACUAGUGGGCCAUUUUUGGUAAGCAGAACUGGCGAUGCGGGAUGAACCGAACGCGAGGUUAAGGUGCCGGACUGCACGCUCAUCANACACCACAAAAGGUGUUAGUUCAUCCAGACAGCCGGACGGUGGCCAUGGAAGUCGGAAUCCGCUAAGGAGUGUGUAACAACUCACCGGCCGAAUGAACUAGCCCUGAAAAUGGAUGGCGCUUAAGCGUGCGACCCAUACCUCGCCGCCGGGGCAGGACCGACGCCCCGGCGAGUAGGCGGGCGCGGGGGC